rnacentral:lncRNA from 1 species
UUAUCUGGAGGUGGCCUCUUGGCAAUUACUGCAGUCUUCGUUACUUCAUCUGACAUUUGUCCACUUGAUCCAUGCUCAACCUCAUGAAGUCUACAAAAUAUUCAUAGUACCAUAAUUGUAUCAGUGAAGUAGUGCAUAUAUCAAGCAAUGAUCUUGGAGUCUCAUGGAUCUGGCAAUUCAUAGGUACAUAUGGAAAAUUCAAAAAGCAAGCCAACUCAAGAUACAAAGGUGGCAGGUUUGCCUACAGGUACAUGUUCCGCUAUCAGAUUUAGCUGUACCAUGGCUAACAUCAUGCCCUGCUCAUAGUGUGUAUACAUGAUGUGUUGCAGGCCAUUCCUUGGGGGCAAAUGUUGAUGAAUACAACACAGAUAAUAUACCCUUAGCUGACAAACUUGACUAUAGUUACUCAUUGGGUCCAGGUUUAAUUCUGUGCAAAUAUCGUCAACAUACUUUUGGUAUAGAAUCAUCGGUUUUGUAUAUUCUCUAUCAUACCUUACAGACUACGAGGGGGGCAACAACACAUCAGAUGGGUCAAGUGAUGCUUCGUUGACGGCUCCCAGUGAACUCACACUCGCUCCCGGGGAUAUCACAAAGUUGAUCAACCUUACAAUGCGAUGUCAGGUAUUCUUAUACUAUGUGUAUUACAUCCUAUUGUUGGACAGAUUCAGUAAACUGGCAGGUGUGGUCCAGUCUCCUUUGUACAUAAUGAUGCUUUGUUUUUUUUUUUUCAUUUUGUUAUUUUUACAUGAUGCAGACAACCCAGCAAACUCAUUCAUGCAAAAUGGUGCUUCCUUGCUGGCUCCCAGUAAUCUCACACUCCUCUAUGCCAGCAAUGUACGGGACAGUUCAAAUGGUAUUACCCGUCCGUCUUUGAUGUGAAGUAAUUAGUCCUUACGGGGGUUCAUCUUCAUAUAUAUAGUCAGCUUAUGGCUAUUAUGUUGUUCCAGUAGCUCUAGAAUCUUCCCAUGUCGAUAUGGGAAACCAGGUCGGGCGUAAUGCUCUAGCUCGUGAAUGUUCAGUGUCUAUACCAACAACCGAGCACUAGACAACAGGAGUUGUGAUGAAUGACCGCAAAAACGGCUUCACCGAAGAAAAGAGAGAGCAGAUAAAAGCCCGGAGGCGAGCUGCUUAUCGGAAGAAAAAGGAAGAGGGUACGCUCAUGAAAAUCAGCCUUUCGCUAGACAUACUUCUUGCUUUUAUAAUUAAUACGUUUCAUACUUUUCAUGCCAGAUACGUUUUAAGGUACUGCUGAUACAAUUCAUGAUGAUGGAGAACAUAACAACACCUCAUCAAUAGAAAAAAGGGACAUUAUAAACACGCGGAGAAGGGCAGCUUAUAAGGAGAAAAAAAGAAAAGGAAGAUGCUCCGAUUAUGUACCAUCAUAAGAACAAAGGGAUAAGAUAGACGCUAAACGACGGGCAACGUACCACAGAAGAAAAAAGGUAAAACAAGCCCUGAUCAUACAUAUUCUUUACUCCACUUAUUAUGUGCAUUUUGACUUUUAUUAAGUAUACAAAAUGUUCGUUAAUUCAGUUAAGAAAUAAAUUGACAUCGUGGUAUGGGUCGGUAAUACCCAAAAAAAUAACUAAAUCAGAGGAAAUUCCCCUCUUUAAUAGUACAGAUCUCAGACUAAUGUUAGAAUUUUUUUUGAACUAUUCCAGACUAAACUUGUAUGAACAGUAUGUACAUGUCAUGCUUUUUAAUUUGUGUUCCAGACUUUCUAAUUACGUAUAUGAUGCUUUCAUACACUUAUAUAGACCCAAAUUGUUUAGAAUAUUAUCCUUGAUAUUUCGCAUCUGUCAGAUAGUACAAGGCAUGAAUCACAAAGUAAAGCUUACAGUCAAAAAAAUGUGAAGCUUGGCAAGGCAUGGUGCUCAAAUAUGUGUACCUCAAAGCUUAAUUUUGUUCGCCUGCAUCAAUCAUCCAGUUCUGGUCUGACUUCAUUUUGCAAGGUUAGUGUGAGCAAUAUUUGCUUUCCACACUAUAUUACGAACUUCUCUCCAUUUUACGGUUACCUGCAAAACUAACCAAAUUAAACAGGGCCAUCUGAAUAUAAGUACAAAUUAGAUAAGUCAGGAGACAGUAACAGGAAUGUCCAGCUUCAUAAUAGAGCAAGCAAAAUUCAAAAUAUUUUCUUGUGGCCAAAUUAAAUCUAAAUGUACACGCGCAAGACAUCUUGACCACAUAGUGUAUAAUAACUAAAUUAGGUGGUUCAGCUGAAGAUAUGAGACAUUUUUAGCUCAGAGAGUAAACGGCUAUAGAAUUUUACAGAAAAAAACUACAUACUACUCCCUCUAACAAAAUAUGAGACAUUUUUUGCAUUCCCGGCAGCUCCCAAAUCUCUGUAAGAGUACAAUUCUGCCCUCACCAUUGUCCAACUCCCAAAUCAGUUUGAAUUUGAACCUCGCCGUCGGCAGCACCUCGUGCCUCGCCCAGCAACUCACGCCUCGCCCGGUGCUUGCCGCUCCAGGUGCUCACCACCUCCUUGCCCGCUCCUUGCCCCGACACUGCUUGACCAGGCCCAACAAAUCAGUUAUGUUUAUUUUAGCAGCAGUACACUGAUUGUCAAACUGUGUACACUAUGCAACAGUACAGUUCAUACCAAUCAGUGCUACUCCUUUCAGUUACAGAGGCC